GUUUGUCAUAACCCUUGAGAAAUAGAAGCUGAGCUCUGUGAGAGGGAAGUGAUAAACUCCUGUGAGGGUAUUUAAGCUGUACUUCUAC